rnacentral:rRNA from 1 species
GCUUUCGGGUUGUAAACUUCUUUUCUCAGGGACGAAGAAAAUGACGGUACCUGACUAAGCAGCCCCGGCUAACUACGUGCCAGCAGCCGCGGUAAUACGUAGGGGGCAAGCGUUAUCCGGAUUUACUGGGUGUAAAGGGAGCGUAGACGGAAUUGCAAGUCUGAUGUGAAAAUCCGGGGCCCAACCCCGGAACUGCAUUGGAAACUGUAUUUCUAGAGUGUCGGAGAGGCAAGUGGAAUUCCUGGUGUAGCGGUGAAAUGCGUAGAUAUCAGGAGGAACACCAGUGGCGAAGGCGGCUUGCUGGACGAUGACUGACGUUGAGGCUCGAAAGCGUGGGGAGCAAACAGG